CCUACGGGAGGCAGCAGUGGGGAAUAUUGGACAAUGGGCGAAAGCCUGAUCCAGCAAUGCCGCGUGUGUGAAGAAGGCCCUCGUUGGUUGUAAAGCACUUUCAGUGGGGAAGAAGAGCCGGCGGCCAAUACCUGCCGGCCCUGACGUUACCCACAGAAGAAGCACCGGCUAACUCUGUACCAGCAGCCGCGGUAAUACAGAGGGUGCGAGCGUUAAUCGGAAUUACUGGGCGUAAAGGGCGCGUAGGCGGUCCGGUAAGUUGGGUGUGAAAGCCUCGGGCUUAACCUGGGAAUUGCAUUCAAUACUGCCGGGCUGGAGUAUGGUAGAGGGAAGUGGAAUUCCGGGUGUAGCGGUGAAAUGCGUAGAUAUCCGGAGGAACACCAGUGGCGAAGGCGGCUUCCUGGACCAAUACUGACGCUGAGGCGCGAAAGCGUGGGGAGCAAACAGGAUUAGAUACCCUGGUAGUCCACGCCCUAAACGAUGAGAACUAGCCGUUGGGGACAUUCAAGUCCUUGGUGGCGCAGCUAACGCGAUAAGUUCUCCGCCUGGGGAGUACGACCGCAAGGUUAAAACUCAAAGGAAUUGACGG
rnacentral:rRNA from 1 species